GAGUGGGGAUGAGCUAUCUAGGCCAGAACCAAGAGGUGAGCAGGAAGCAUGCUCUUGCCCUGGCUGAGAGCUGCAUGCCCCUGCUUCUUAGGCUGAACCCAGAAGGAUGUGGCCUGGUUUCUGUCUCCAGCAGGAGUCUUGAAGCUUGGGGUAGUUUUGCAUUCUGAGCACAGACAGCUGAAGGCCCAGCUGGCUGUGGCAGCUUUCUGCCAGCAGAAGUCCAUGGAUUUAAAAUCUGCUCUGUCAAGGACGUGGGAGCUGGGUGCAUCUCACUGCCAACUGCCGCUCCUCUUUCUAUGUGUGGUGUCUUUUGUGCAGCAGAGGCAGUUCUGCUUCUCCCUGGAACAUUACCCCAGCAACCAGGGAACUGCUGUCUGACUCCCAUAGGGAUUGCCACUUGUGUCUGCACUUGGGGAACCAGAUCAUAGACUUGUCUGACCCAGUCCCCACCUAGCUUUGCAACUCCAUCUGCCUUGGUAGCAGAACCUAAACAGGGACUUUUGGGAGUUUCAUAGCCCAGUCCAUUGCCUAGGACAUCUGAAUAUCCCCCAUAGGUAAAAUAGACCAAGUGCAAGUCCCACAGCCACCAUCACAGCUGUCUCUCUCCUGCAAGUGCCACUUCCUGGCCAGAGGUCAACCAGCACAGCCCACUACAACAUCUGCUGGCACAAUAACACAGCACAUGGGAGGAAGAAAACUUUUGUAUGACCUCUGCUAACACCAUUGCCCCCACUAUUCCAGCCACUCAGGAGGCCUUGAGCCUAUUCAUGUUCCCAGUAUAUUACUACUACAGCUGUUAAUUGAGAAAGCCAUCACACUAAAGCUUUGUAAAGCCAAGGAAAUCUUACGAUGUCUACACCAAUACCCUGCUAUUCCCAUCUUGGCUGGUGCUUCCACCCACUGCUGGGAGACCAGAGGACAGGUCAUCCUGGUUCAGCUCCACCCAACAUUGCCCCCUCUGGAGCUAAGAGCAGAGCCCUAGCUACUGCACAUCCCACAGACCAGUCCAUAGCCCGAGGCAUCAGAGAGCUACUCCAAACGGCUGCCCAGAGAUGUCAGUGACCAGUUCUCCUCAGAAGGAAGAGCCAAAAUUACAGGUGAAUAAUCAUAGUCCAAAUGGAAUGUUAAAGGGAAAGUUCUGGAACCUACCAGAGAUUUCACUGGAAGAAUCUACAACACACACAAAAGAAAGACACAAGAAGCUGACAGAGAUCAAACCCUGAGAAAGCUAGUAUUCCAUAAAAGGGUAGGGAGUAUUUUCAGCCUCUUUAACUCUUGUGGCAGACUGCUGGUUAUCAUAAUUCAAGAAGAGAUUCUUUGCCCUCAUAAGCCCAAGUACUGGAGUGGGCUGCAAUUUGGGGACUUCUUCAGAGCAUUACACUGGGCUACCAGCUCAUGCUGGGAUCCUUCCUUUUCCCCCUGGACCUGGGCUGUAGUAGCGGGCACAAUACUGGGUGUGCACUCAUUGUGGGACUUCGCUUUGCUCGGAGACCUUCAAACCUUGUCUCUUCACAUCACCAUAUCCUUUGCAACCAUUCCCCAGCACAGCCUGGACUGUGACAGCCCCACAGGGUGGCUGGACCCAGAGGAGCAGUGGGCUUCACAGUAUACAGCUUCCUAGGAGCAGAUAUUAUAUCUGCCCAAAUCAGAGUUAGCAUAUGUAAGAGAGUCAGUAAAAUACUUCCUGAAUUCAACUGAGGCAAUUCCAUGAAGAAAAAGGAACCACAAGAGGGAACAUCAUGAGGUAGGGGUUCUUGUCAUUGUUCUGCCACCCAUUUUGAAUGUGUUAACUUAUCACUCAAGGUCUGUAUAGUUUGUUUGUGAAACGACAUUGAAUCAACUGGCUAGGAUCCCUAAGUAUGUGUCUUACAUUGAAAUUACCGGGCACCUGAUGAGCUUUCUCUGGAAAUCUCCAACUAGGCCACUUCCUGUUGCAGAAGUGGAAAGAACUUUGUUUCAAAGCACAUACAUCUGUGAACCUCCCAGCUCUUCACUCCUGGCACGGAAUAUCAGUGUCUGGAUGUGGCGUUCUUCAUCCUUGUUUAUAAACACUGAAACAUGCCUCUUCCUGAUUAAAGACAAUUACCUAUUCCCUCUCUUUUCCACUUCAGUUAUAUUCUCCCUGAGGCCAGGAAAGGAGCUCACCUCUGACCUUGUGUGAUUUUCCCAUAUUAGCUCACCAGAGAGUGACUGAAUUGCAAAUCAGAUCCUCUUUUCUGUUACUCAGAAUUUUACUUGAUCUUGCCUACUGCAAAGUUGCAAUUAGGCUGUCUGAGAAGUGUAAAUCAAAUCCAUUUAACCUCUCUCAGGAAGAUGGCAAACGCUCAAUACCAAGUUCCCUAUCUUUUCCAUGGCCAUUUGUAUUAAAAUGCUGACAAAUGCUUACUUCUCUCCAUCUGAUCAGCUUCUCAGGUUCUCAUCCUUUGCCAUUAUUUUCUAUUUAAAAAGCUGUUCACAUACAUGUCUCUUUCCCCCAGGUUCUAGUACCCCAGAUGUGAUACAUGCAUGAGGGGGCUAGAACUUCCUGCAAGGGUGCAGGGGAGCAGGGAAGUGGGGGGUAGCGUGGGGUCAGUGGUUGCGGGGAGGUGAUGAAAGGGCCCAGCUGCCCUGGCUGAUGUGGAGGCUCACAUUUGGCUAUAGAGACUGCCCAAGGCUCAUGGUGAUUUCUGUUCUCAAACCAGAUAAAUCAAGACUUCCCACUAUCCAACUGUAAAGUUCCCAAUCAUCAACAACUUCAUGCCCACCCUCCACCACAAAGGGAAAGGAAACUGCCCUUAGCAUCCCUGAAGGGAUUUUGCCUUGCUUGUGUCUCAAAACUCUUCUGUGCUCUGUGACCCAGGAUGUCAGCGUAUCAUCAAACAACACUCUGAUUUUUUUUUUUUUUUUACCUUAUCUCCUGUUCUUAGACCUUGGCCUCUCUUCCUCAGUGUACUGAAUCAGCUUUUGCUAUAAUUUUGGUGACUCAUAUUGGCCCUGAUCAUUAUUGGAAUCCCGUAAGUUUCAUAUUCUGCUCCAAGAAACAUUUGGAUAAAUUGAGAAAAACUAAUAGCCUUUCAUGGUAAUAACAGUCUACUCCCUUCAUGAUGUCAACAAAUGCUAUCAGAGUCCACACAAGACCUCCCAAACAUUUCUGAUGAUCAGAGACAAGAUACCGUCUUAUAUACCAAAAACCUCAGGUGAGAAACAGAAGUAAACUGGCAAGCCAUCCCUGAAGCUCCAGACAGCAAACACAGCAAGCAUGCAGCUUCCCCUUCUGUCUGGAGGAAUCUUGUGCUAAGCAGCACCUACCCACAAGCCUUUGUUUCUCUACAGAUGGAAAAGCUCCUGCCAUCCUGGGCAGCACAUGGUAGAGGGGAGGCAGCCACUGACCUUCUGGGUAAUCUGUCAUGACGACCUGAUAGCAGACCGGCAGGAUGCUCCAAACUGUCACCAAAGAUGUCACGAGUGCUUCUGAGGCUCAAGAAUCUAAUUUUCCUUACUUAAAAUAAAAGGACUGAAUGCUGGAUGAAUAACCCUUUUUUUCACCCCCUAAACAAAUCUCAUAGGGAAUCCUAAUAUAUAAAAUAACCAAAGUGCAAGCCCUGGGUUAAAGCCGAGGAUGGGUGCUAGAGAUGGGCUAGAGCAUGUCUGCUUAGCUUUCUUCCACUAUCCCAGCCAUUUAAAGACCACAAGUUAGCUUCCUGGAAUUCAGUUUGACAAACACUUAGGCUAGAUCAUUGUCAGGGGACCUUCAUUUCAAGCUCCAUGGAGUAGGUCGGGGACUCUGCCUUGGUCAUCCCUGAAUCCCCACAGCCAUGGUUCUAGCACACAGUAAGCACUAAAAACCAAAACCCAAAAACCCGUAUGAUAAUGUAUGUCUACAGACAUUCGAUGAAUGGAUGAAUAAAAGAUUUUUCAGAUACCA